GAUGAGUCAGAUGGUGCAUUUAGGACAUUUGCCAGUGGUUCUAAAUUCAAAAGCUUGGCAAAGACCUAUGAGGAUAAAGGCAUGUGAAUGGACAUUCAAGAUGUUAGGAAUGUGGACAGGAAAGAACAAAAAUAUAUCAGCCAGGAAAAAUACAGACCAGUGCAUUUGGGGGAGAAAAAUCAUCAGACAUCAAGUGAGAAGGAGCUACUGGGAAAGAAAUAUGCUGAACAGCUUGAAGGUUAUAGUGCAUGGUGCACAUGGGACUGCUUCAUGGUUUAAAGUGUCAUUGAGCAGAAAGAGGUGCAGUGUACUGUACAUACAGCUACCGCUGUGCUACGAUGCAAGACUAGUGGAGGAUUGCUCUUUGGCCUUAGAAGUGAAUGGAAGGACAUGGCUCUUGCUGGCACACCUAACUCCUCUCUUGCCCACUCAAGAACACAUUGGCCAUGCCCAAGCUAUUCCUACUGGGGAAAAAGUCCCUGCAAGUGUUAUUACCCAGUUUGCACCAGGUAUUCUAUGGAGAAGUCCUUGAUGGUGCAGGUAGGAACAUGUCAACAUUUACAACAUUGGCAAUAAUGGGGAAAUGCAUGAUCCUGUGCUUUGAAUGUGUUCUGUCUACUGGCAUGGUUAUAUCCCAAGAUUUUUCUCUACCAUGGAAUUACUGGUCUUGACCAACAGCAGAUUUUGACAAUAGCUUAGCCUCUUUGAGGUCAGUUUAGUUGCCUUUGUUUAUAGCUAGGUGUCACUCUACUUGCUGGGCAUUCAAACUCCUCCUGCAUAUGCAACUUCUUAGGCUUGUGCACCUUUUGGAUUUUGGCAAUAGAAGGUGCAUGUUCCUUGCUUUAAAACUAUUGAGUUCACAUCUCUCAAGGUUAUCCCUGAACUUGGCUUGUGCAAAUUUGACUUUACAUGGAGGAGAUGACCCUCAGCUUCUGAUCUCUGAUCAAAGCAUUCUGUAAUAUCAAAUACAGAACCCAGAACAGUGGAGAGCAGAAACCCAGUACACUAAUUACCUUGAUUUGUCCAACUGCCUGCAGCUGAGGAGCCCUUCAACUGUAGUUAAGUGUGGCUGUCACGAGGGUUGGAGGCAAAG
rnacentral:lncRNA from 1 species